UUAUCAAUGAAAAUCUCGUUUGAUUAAUUACACCAAGAUGCCAAAAAUCAGCAAGCAUUUAUUUCUUCAGUUUCAUAUCUCCAUAUAAUAUAUAUAUAUAUAGUCACCCGUGUAGAGAAACCAGACACUACACCAUAGAAAUUGUAUAGAAGGAGUUGCUAUAGAGAACUAUGAAGAAGUCUUCAUUCAUCUACUCGGCUUUGCUGGUUUUUCUGCUGGUCAUUUCAUCUGGAGUGCCUGAAGCAUAUGGGAGGAGCUUAGCAGAGGUAGCUGAAACCAAUCCAUGUGGUCCUACAUGCAAUGAAUGUAUCCAAGGGAAGUGCCUUUGUUAUAUAGGUCACUUGUGUCUAAGCAGCAGCAACACUGAUCAUCAAAACUCAAUUCCAAUUACUAAAACAGAGGAUGGUGCCUAGAAAAGGGCAGCUUGAUUGGCUGUGAUCAAGAAAUAUGUUUAAUUACAGCUUUUGUCUUCAACCUUCAGUCUAAAUGAAUAAAUAAUAAUGGAACAAAGUCUUUUGAUUAAAGUUUCCACCAUUAUUUUAGAUUAUGGGUGUCAUUCUUUUUUCCCUUUCAGAUAUUAGUUGAUAUGUAUUUUUUGUUUUUUUUUAUCUUUUAUUAUGGAUACACUCCAACAUAUCGACGAGAAUGAAAAUUAAAUGUGUA